AAAUACGGCAUGGAAAUAGAGCACUUUAAACUUCCCUGAAGCCACCGAAACAAUGACGAGUCUACCUUACACCAAACAGUAUAAGAUAUCCGACGAUAAGGACAAUGACAAGACAACCAUAAAGAACUGAGGACCAUGUCGGCCAACGUUACAAUACUCAAACAGAAAAAUCAGACGGUACAACACAUUUGGACAAGACAUUAAUAAAGGGGAAUGCUAUUAGGAAAUAGCCCCAAUAACAUAUACAUUUUUAUACACGUAAUCCAGUAAAUGUCUGAUAACCAGUCUACAAUUAAACCUUUAUUUUCCUUGAACAAUCAUUUCAUAGAAUAACAGAGGGUAUGUUCACAUAACACACACAAACAAUGAGUGGUUGAAUCAGUACUAUUUUCAAAGGCAAGCUUGCAGGAGGGAAAUUAGGAGUAAUUACAAAAACAGGAAGGUUCAUCUUUAUCGUGGAUCAUUUGAAAAUACAGCCAGUUACUAUUACUAUUUACAAGCAUUAUUUACACAGGAAAGCUUCCAGGGAGUGUCUUAUCUACAUUUUUAGUUUACUACAUCAUAGUUUGGACGCAUGUGAAAAUCAGACUUUCAGUUAGCGAGGGAAGCAGAGAGCAGUUAUCACUACACCCGUUUUAACAGAACACCUGAGCCAAAAUAUCUAUGGCGAAAAGAAGUGAUAGUGCUACUACUUUACACAUGUGUUUAUGCCUCUUUCAAUAUUGGUGUAUUGCAACAACAAAACAUUUAUUUUUGUCACACACUGGAUAAAUGCAGUGAAGUGUUUUACAGGGUCAGCCAUAGUAGUACGGCACCCCUGGAGCAAAUUAGGAUUAAGUGUCUUGCUCAAGGGCACGUCAACAGAUUUUUCACCUAGUCGGCUCAGGCAUUCCAACCAGCGACCUUUCCGGUUACUGGCCCAAAGCUCUAACUGCUAGGCUACCUGCUGCCGAAUAGAUCUCCCAUACACACAGUACAUACAUGUACCAGAAUACAUUUAUAACAUCCUCCCUCAGCAGUUGAAAAUCAGAGGGUUGUUAUUGCACAACACACACUGUUGAGGAGACCACUAAAACGGGCAUUUUACACAAGCUCCAAAACACAUGGUCUUAUUGCUUCCAGUUUGUACUUUGAAAUGUACGCUCUGACUGUGGCUCGACUGUAGUCGGACUAUAGACUGUGGCUCUAUAUCAAAAUGGCUGUGGUGGAACAGUUUUUUUCAGAUAAAAUCACCAACAUAGCAGUGAGACUGAUGCAGUCUUGUUGAUAGAACUACUAAAAACAUCACAGGCAAGCUUAUUUUUAAAUUAUAUAUUUUUUCUCAUUUGUAAAUAAGAACUGGAGGCUGAGUCUCUAGAACUCAAACACACACAGACACACAUACAUACAAGAGGCCAAAUAGAUAUAAGGAGGGGACCCUGGGUCUGUUUCCUGAUGACAAUGUCCAUCCUGUACUAACCAUAUGAGACUCCUCCUGCACAGCCCAUAUCCAGCAACGAAACAAUGGCACUUCACAUUCAGUUAUAAAUGUAGGAGGAAAAUCAGAUUUUACAUGCAGUUUCAAAAAAGUCAGCAAAAUGAACUGGAUAAAAUGCGGUCCCUAUGAUGUAAAGUAAUUUGUAGUCUUUUUGUGUGCAAUAAUUGUGGUGUUUCCAUCACAUAACACACACAAUGUCACCUAUGAAGUAGGCACAGAUGUAUUGUUCUGCAGUCAGAAAGUAGGAUAGAGGAUGGGUCAAGUGACAGUGUUACGUACAGUACUCAGUGGUGAGACAUCUGGGUUCUCGCUUAUCUUCUUAUGACCCUGCCUUUGAAGACAGACAUGAUUAACUCUGGUAUUGUUACAGUAUGAUUUCCAGUGUGUGUGUUUUUUGAUAGGUCAAUGGAGUGGGGCGGGCUUCGCAGAGCAGAGUGAAUCUCUCAGUGACACUGGGGCACGUGGUGUCAAGGGAGUCAGUCUACACAACGCCCUCAAUGAAACUGGUGUCCAGGUGAACGAUGAGCAUGCGCAGGAAAGACAUUUCCUUGCGUGUGUUCUCAAAGAUGAUUCGUGGGUCAUCAGACUGGCAGCGGAGGCAGUUGGGGGCCAUCACCAUGGCAAGGUUAUUGACAUCCAUCUUAGUAACAGACACAUUAGCAGGCUGAGCAAACACCUGGGGAUAAUUAGUGUGGGAGAGAGGGUGAAAAAUCAUUAGGGACUGAAGGCGAAGUAUGUAACUUGAAACAGAUUGACUAAGGACAAAUUAAUGAGUUUGUAGUGAUUUGUUCCAUUUCAACUUCCUGACCAAUGACCAUAUCUCCAAUGUUGAAUAUGAUAAUAGUUGUGUCAGUAUGACUGUAUUGUAUUAGCUGUGGUGUUCUGUGUCGUGGUUAUUACCUGCAGGAAGUGGAUGAAGUAGCACAGCACCAGUCUGUUGAGCUCAGGCAAACACUGUACAACAGUAAUGGCUGCCACAGGGUCGUCAUAGUUACUGACACACUGCUUGUAGAAGGCCAUGGGGAUGAGAGGCUCCUCCAACUCACGAUACCAAAGCUUCAUCAGGGAGGCUAGAGGAGACGGUGACAGUGUUAACACUAACACACACUCGCACAGAUAAUAGCAGAGGUACAGACUAACUCACCAGGUACGUUGGGGUCUGAGAGGUUUUCUGGGAUCCGCCAUUGGUCGACCUGGAGCUUCAAUGCGUUGACUUCAUCGAUAUCUCCAGGCACCCUUCAGAACAAGCGUUCUAAUUCAGUAUUCAGUUGCACUGCAUGGCCACUAGGGGGAACUAUAACCCCCACUAUUACCAAUCUACAGGUAUGUUCAGUGGCAUAGCUUGAAAACCCAUUAUAACAUGGUGAAACGGUUAUCAUGACUCAAACGGCACUGGGAGUAUCAUGUUGUUAAUUGGCGGAAUUUGUUUGGAUUUAGGGACUGACCAUGAUAACAACCAUGGUGAAUAGGCCUGUUCUGUAUUAGCUGGAGUAGGAGAAGAGAAAAAAAUCGACCAAAGCUCCUUAUCGCCCAUGAAACAUUGUAGUGGGUGGGGUAUAACGUUUAUGUUGAGAAUAAAUACUCCUCCAAACAAAUUAAAAUCUAAUAGAAUAAUCUACAGAAAUACAGACCAAACAAAAUACUCACAAAUCACAGAUAUGAGAAUAGCUCUAACAACGUGAUUGAAAGCCCAUGGCCUCAUGCAAAAACAAAAAUGUAAACACAUUUUUAUAAAGUAUCAAAUGAAACAUUGCUGGUCUCCAGGGGCUCUUGAGCAGUGGUAUGCAAUGUUUGCUCUGCUGUCCAUCUCUUUACUGUAGAGUACACAGGGAAUGUUUGCUUUAAACUGUGCUGCUUCAGGAGACCACCCACCAAGGCUGGCAUACAUUUGUCUAGAUCCUCACUAGAUCUCCUUUUAUGACCCCGACCCUGCUAAACACAAACCCAUACCUCAUUGAUGAAUACCCUAAGUCCAAUGAGGUGAUUUGCUGACCCUGCCCAUCUGUCUCACCUGAAGAUGCCCUCAGUCUGGGCCCCUCCCAGUGCCAGGACGUAUUGGGAGAGCUGCACCUGUACCCAGGGUAGCUUCCUGUCUGGGAAGAGUUCACUCUGGCGCUCCAUCACCUCGUCCAAGGAGCUGCCAAACAGGGAGGGGGUCACAAUGGCCCGUCUGCUGUGGUCAAUCUCCUCCAGAGUUGGCUUACGAAGACCCUGCAGGGGAGGUUCAGAGUGUGACUACUAGGACUAUAUUUUACACUGUUCAUGUAAUACUUUGUCUAUGACUGUUAACAUCAAAGAUUAUAUCUGAAAUAGACUGUCUUGUGUGUAUGUUAAGCCCUGUGAUUAAGAAUCUAUCCAUGAUAUGUUUCUGACUAAUGUCCAUGUUUAUCUUUCUAGCAUUAUUAAUCUCUUUAUCAACAUCUGUAUUGGUUAGGAACCCUUUGAGUAUUAAACAAAUAGGGACAUUCAGGGUAGGGUUGAGUUUUGACUGCAUGCUCUAUUUGGGCAUUUUUAAAUACCUUGGUUUAUGACAAAUACUAUUUUCCCUUGUCAUUUCCUGCCCCUUUGCCAUGCUCACUUCUCAACUCACCUUUUUGCCUCCAGUUAUGGCCACUUUCUGUAGUUUGCGAUAGCAGAACUUUGCAUACGUGCUGAUGGGCAGACCUGUGAAGAGAGAAGGAAGACAGGGCCAAUGUAACACUGAGGAAUGCGACUCAGUAACCCAACACCAUGGGAAAUACAGCUCUUAUUAUAGCUGCACGUCACACCUUCAGAUACGUCUGCUCAGUGAGUGAAUCCUCUAAGGAACCUUGGUUUUCAACCAAAACAACAGAUAAAAGGGUUGAACAAUUCCUCACUAAAUGGACACGCAAUUUGUUCCCAUAGAUGUCAGAUAUUUCCGAGGCAGUAAUUGGAGAUAUGCUGGCUGUGUGAUUCUGGCAUAAGGGGAUCAGAGUAUACAUGUCUCAACGGUCCCGGUAUAGAAAGAAAAGCUGGGAGAAUGGAGCCAUCCAGCCAGCACAUCCUGUCCCAGCUGAUUCAUCAGACAGACACUUAGUAGUACACUGGAGGGAGCAGUACCCCUACCUACAGACCCAAACUAUCGGUCUGCCUCGUUCCCUGUACUUGGGUGUAUUUUCUGAAGUAAGAUACAUUUGAGGAAUUAAAUAAUCAUGACUCUGCCUCAAAAAGUAAUGGAACAAGGCACUCAACAAUCAUGCUCCAAAUUUAUGAGCCACUUCCUAAGAGAAUCGCAUAAUUUCCGUACUACAGGCCGUCGUCACUGUGGUAACUAAAAUGUACACAUAAAACAGGUCUCCACUUCCUUCCCAGAGCCUCCCUAUCACACCCAUGGGAUCCCAACCAUCUCCCUUCCUUCCCAGAGAACUCUCAGGUGGCUGAGCCCUGGCCAGAUGGAGAAUUUUGUGCUGCAAUGAAAAAUAUCCUUCCUGGAAUGUUCUCUAGACUGAAAGACCCUGGAUUUAUAGCAAACAGGUGACUGACUGUCAUGCAUGUACACCGCCAUCGUUAAUCUGGCCCAGUUUGACUAAUUACAGCUAAUUACAGAGAUCAUAACGAUAAUUUCCCAUUGAUCUCAGGGAAAACACACUGUUUUUCCCAAGAUUCCCUGAAUUAACUAAUCAUUAGGGGAAGAAAAGCAAGAGUUGGACUACUUUCUUUACCCAGCCUGAGAGCAGGUUUUAACACCAGCGGUGGUCCAAAUGAAAAUGUUGUUUUGAUAAGGCAAAACAACAACGAAGCAACCAGAGCCCAUGAGAAAAUCACCCCUCAGAGGAUUAAGAGCAGAAGGCAAAUCCUGUAAUGAUGACACCUGUUAACUUCUUGGUUCAGACGGUCUGCCUAUAUCUGUUCGAUUCUCCCGAGGUAUCAGUUUAGUGACGCUACCUCAGCAAAGUUUUUAAACCCAAGUAAGCAAGGCCCGCCUCAGACCAGCCUAGGCCCAAGAAAAGCCCUUCCAAGCCCAGACAAGAGGCCUCCAGUUCCCACACACUUACUCCCUCCCACCACUCUGCUCACAGCUGCUCCGUGCCGUGGUCACAACACCACCCUUCACUUCAGCUCGUCUAUCCAGACAGCAGCUCUCAUUAUGCUGUUCGUGAGGAGGCUUUCCCUUGUGGUUGGCUGGUGGGUCCACGUCGUGAGCAAUGCAAUAGCCCUUUCCCUCAAGUCAUUAUUCCCGCCUCUAUCUCAAGACCUCUACAGUGAGUCACUCCCAUGAACGGUAGCCAUUCCUCAUGGCCUGUGAUUCACUGAUGUUGUCCAGGGUGUACAAGAGGUCGAUGUUACAGUCAUUGAUGUACAAUGUGUGUGGGUUCACCAGUGUGGUCACUGCCACUAGACGGGUAGGUUCCUCUCUGGUGACAUCAUCACAGCUGAUAUUGUGGGUUGCCCUAUAGCAACAAGACUAAUGAGUGUGCAGGUUUAGGGCAAAACAGACAGGAUUGACUUAGAAUCAAAAGAUUGUUGACAACAUGUAAACUAUAUUUCCUCUUUGAAUGUUUAUUGGAAACAUAAAUGCAUUUGCAGAAUGA